rnacentral:rRNA from 1 species
GAUGAACGCUGGCGGCGUGCCUAAUACAUGCAAGUCGAGCGAAAAGAUGAGGAGCUUGCGCCGCGGACGUUAGCGGAGGACGGGAGAGUAACGCGUGGAAAACCUACCUAUAAGACGGGGAUAACUACGGGAAACCGGAGAAAAUAGCGGAUAAUAUAUUGAACCGCGGGGGGGAAUAGUGAAAGACGGCUUUGCGGUCAGUAAUAGAUGGAUCCGCGCCGGAUUAGCUAGUUGGUAAGGUAAAGGCUUACCAAGGGAACGAUGCGUAGGCGAGCUGAGUGGGUGGUCGGCGACCCUGGAGCUUAGACACCGUCCAUGCUCCUGCGGUAGGCAGCAGUCUCGUAUCUGGCGCAAUGGUCGAGAGUCUUGCGGAGUGGCCCGGCGUCUGAUAUGACGGCCCUCCGUUCGUAAUGCUCUGUUUCGAGUUAUGAACAAAUUUCGCAUUAACUAUGCACUUCUUGACGGUACCGAGUCAGAAAGCCACGGCUAACUACGUG